rnacentral:rRNA from 1 species
GACGAACGCUGGCGGCGUGCCUAAUACAUGCAAGUAGAACGCACAGUUUAUACCGUAGCUUGCUACACCAUAGACUGUGAGUUGCGAACGGGUGAGUAACGCGUAGGUAACCUGCCUGGUAGCGGGGGAUAACUAUUGGAAACGAUAGCUAAUACCGCAUAAUAUUGAUUAUUGCAUGAUAAUUGAUUGAAAGAUGCUAUUGCAUCACUACCAGAUGGACCUGCGUUGUAUUAGCUAGUAGGUGAGGUAACGGCUCACCUAGGCGACGAUACAUAGCCGACCUGAGAGGGUGGUCGGCCACACUGGGACUGAGACACGGCCCAGACUCCUACGGGAGGCAGCAGUAGGGAAUCUUCGGCAAUGGACGGAAGUCUGACCGAGCAACGCCGCGUGAGUGAAGAAGGUUUUCGGAUCGUAAAGCUCUGUUGUAAGAGAAGAACGGGUGUGAGAGUGGAAAGUUCACACUGUGACGGUAUCUUACCAGAAAGGGACGGCUAACUACGUG